rnacentral:rRNA from 1 species
GACGAAGGGGGCUAGCGUUGUUCGGAAUUACUGGGCGUAAGGCGCGUGUAGGCGGUUGUCCAAGUUGGAUGUGAAAGCCUUGAGCUCAACUCAAGAAAUGCAUUCAGGACUGGAUGACUAGAGGACCGGAGAGGAUAGUGGAAUUCCCAGUGUAGUGGUGAAAUACGUAGAGAUUGGGAAGAACACCAGUGGCGAAGGCGGCUAUCUGGACGGUUUCUGACGCUAAGACGCGAAAGCGUGGGGAGCAAACCGG